CAGUCGCCGCGGUAAUACGUAGGUGGCAAGCGUUGUCCGGAAUUAUUGGGCGUAAAGGGCUCGCAGGCGGUUUCUUAAGUCUGAUGUGAAAGCCCCCGGCUCAACCGGGGAGGGUCAUUGGAAACUGGGAAACUUGAGUGCAGAAGAGGAGAGUGGAAUUCCACGUGUAGCGGUGAAAUGCGUAGAGAUGUGGAGGAACACCAGUGGCGAAGGCGACUCUCUGGUCUGUAACUGACGCUGAGGAGCGGAAGCGUGGGGAGCGAACAGGACUAGAUACCCGUGUAGUCCCUGUCUCUUAUAC
rnacentral:rRNA from 1 species